AUUGAACGCUGGCGGCAGGCCUAACACAUGCAAGUCGAACGGCAGCACAGAAGAGCUUGCUCUUUGGGUGGCGAGUGGCGGACGGGUGAGUAAUGUCUGGGAAACUGCCCGAUGGAGAGGGAUAACUACUGGAAACGGUAGCUAAUACCGCAUAACGUCGCAAGACCAAAGUGGGGGACCGUCGGGCCUCACACCAUCGGAUGUGCCCAGAUGGGAUUAGCGAGUAGGUGGGGGAAUGGCUCACCUAGGCGACGAUCCCUAGCUGGUCUGAGAGGAUGACCAGCCACACUGGAACUGAGACACGGUCCAGACUCCUACGGGAGGCAGCAGUGGGGAAUAUUGCACAAUGGGCGCAAGCCUGAUGCAGCCAUGCCGCGUGUAUGAAGAAGGCCUUCGGGUUGUAAAGUACUUUCAGCGGGGAGGAAGGCGGUGAGGUUAAUAACCUUGCCGAUUGACGUUACCCGCAGAAGAAGCACCGGCUAACUCCGUGCCAGCCGCCGCGGUAA
rnacentral:rRNA from 1 species